rnacentral:rRNA from 1 species
UACGAGGGGGGCGAGCGUUGUUCGGAAUUAUUGGGCGUAAAGAGCGUGUAGGCGGUUCGGUAGGUCCGUUGUGAAAACUCGAGGCUCAACCUCGAGACGCCGAUGGAAACCCCCGAACUAGAGUCCGGAAGAGGAGAGUGGAAUUCCUGGUGUAGCGGUGAAAUGCGCAGAUAUCAGGAAGAACACCCGUGGCUAAGGCGGCUCUCUAGUACGGUACUGACGCUGAGACGCGAAAGCGUGGGGAGCGAACAGG